CAGAAAUGGGGAUGAUUACUUACAUCAGGGCCAGUGAAAUUUUAGUACCUUUAAAAAUGACAGCAAGUGUACAAAGAUCUGAAAAAAAAAACCACUUACAAAAUUUAACAACAAAAAGAAGAAAUAAACUGUAGACACAUUUAACAUUUUUCCUUGAAUAAGAGUGCUUACUCUUUAAUUGGAUAUGACUUCAGUCUGCUAUGAAGCUUUUAUUUUAAUAUGACAUGCAGUUUAUAGUCACAUAUUCAUGCCAUUAUGUAUUUUCUACAUGUUGGAAUAUAGUUUUGAUACACACCUCUAUGAAAUUAGUUGUCUAGGGUUUAUUAAUUAUGUUUGAACAUUCACAUUUUGGAAGUUAGUAAGAACAGAGAUGAGGUUACCAAAGGAACUGUAAAUAAUGGACACAGGUUAAGAAAAUAAAGUAAAAUAUAAUGACUUAGUUUUAGGA
rnacentral:lncRNA from 1 species